rnacentral:rRNA from 1 species
GACAGAGGCCUCAAGCGUUAGGCGGAAUCACUGGGCUUAAAGCGUGUGUAGGCGGAUCGUUAAGUGCCUUGUGAAAUCCCACGGCUUAACUGUGGAACGGCUGGGCAUACUGGGCGGUCUUGAGCCAUCUAGGGGCGACUGGAACAAACGGUGGAGCGGUGAAAUGCGUAGAUAAUCGUUUUGGAACGCCAAUGGUGAAAAACAGGUCGCUGGGGGAUGAGCUGACGCUGAGAACACGGAAAAGCCCAGGGGGAGCAAACGGG